CAAAGUCUUCUUAUUAGAAGAAACUUGGGAGGAAGAAUUAUUAUACGCUGUUUUACUCUUUCUUAAGAAGUUCUUUCUUAUUAAUCCAUUACCAGUACACCACUUUUGUUGUACUAUAACAAGAAAUAAAUAAACUUGUUACAAUCAAUUAUGUAUGGCUGGUGAUUUACAACAUCGUCCACAUGUGUGUGUGCGCGCGCGCAUUAUUUUAAAAAUUACUAUCUCAAAAACAAUAUAUAUUAUAGUUUUAUAUUAGUUGACUGUAAAAAUAUUCCAGUACAAAAAUAUUAAUCUUAAUGGUUAAUCAAAAUUGUUUUUUAUUUGAAAUUAGUCUCAAAUAAAUCUUUAUACCUUGGAAUUUAAUGGUUGAGGUUGAGCCACACAGAAAUAUGCAUGGACUGUGCGCCUCCCACGACACAAGGACCUCAACAUGUCUUGUCCCCGAGGUUGAGAAUGAUAUCUCUACACAUCAAUUUCUCCUUCUUCAAAAAGGAAAAGUGGCUCCUUCAUCCUUCUCAUCCUUAGGGCUCAACACAUUUUUGGGAAUACCAUUAUUGAUAUAAACUGAAUUCUCAAAGUUAUUUAAAUAAAAAAUUGAAACUGUUUAUGAUAGGGAGGCACCCAAAAAGAAUUCUGCUUUUUGCGAAAUGGGAUGAGAGCAUUAGCUAAAUAUGAUGGUGACUACCAAGUCUGCACCCUGCUUCGUUUUGUGACAAAUCUCUGUAUUUUGAGAAGGGAAAUAUAGAUAGUAACGUUCUUGACAAUGAUAGGGUUGAAUUGUGCAGCUUUUCAAAGGAUGCACAUGGCCUUGCGUUGGCCAUCUUCUUGGAUUUCUAACACCACUAGUAGGUUCAAAUGAAACGGACAAUAUGUAAUGUUUCUGAUAGUGGUUACGUUUCCUUGAUUGGACCCGCCAUUGUUGAAUGCAAAAAAGGUCAUAAUUUUUCAAUUAACCAAGCUAAGCAAUAUCUUGUAUGUGAUAUAUUUGUUCUCAUCAUUCAUUUGUAGAGCCAUGGAGUUCAGUUCAGGUAAAGAUCCAUUGUGAUUUUUAAUUAAUUACUCUCGUGUAUUGUGCAUCACACAACAUCAUGAUGAAGAAAUUGUUACCGAAAGUGGGGUUUAAUCAAUACCAUAUUCCAUUAGCCGAUCUGUCUUAAACUUUUGAGGAGUGUAGAAAGUUUUAGGCAGAAAGAAAUAGAGUUGGGUGGGGCCAUUUAAGUUACGUCAUGUAAUUGGAAUUAUUGCUUCAAAUGGGAAUAUAAAAAGGACAUUGUCUGCUUAAUGGUCAUGGAGGUUGAAAGAUUAUACUCCUAAGUUGCUAAAGCCUAAAAGAGCUCUAACAUGUGAUAGGAGUGUCCAGCUGGAAAGGUGUUUCAUGGUAAGGACUUAUAUGAGGAAUGAAAUCCCACUGAUGUGGAAAAGCAUGGCUCACUCCAGAAACGUAUCUUUGCAAAUAAGAUACUGUACUGCACUGCACUCAUAUCCCAUUUGUUAGGACUCUGGACUAAAGAAUUAGGCCGUAGUUAGAGUUGUAGCAGAUUUUUGGAAAAACUUGCAAGCUAAAGGUAAAAUACUUCAACAACCAAGGGCAAUAGGAGGACUUCUAAAUAUUUUUAAAGUAAAAUGAGAGUGUGAUAACUCAAAGUUGUAUACAAUACUUACCGUUUAGAAAUAAAUAUAUAUAGUAAAAAAUAAAUUUAUAAUUAAAUAAUAUAAAAAAUAUUAAAAUAAUAAUAUUGGAAGUUGUAACGUGGUUGUAUAAAAAAAAUGAGAUUGUAUACCAUUCUUCUAUUUUUAAAGUGCAUGCACCUUUUUCUUCAAGUUUAUUGAAUGAGCAUGAGAGAGUGAUAAGAUAAUGAAGAUAUAGCGCGUAACUUCAUCUACAAUGGCAUUAUAUAUUGGGGAUUAUAUAAAUUAAAUAAAAAAGAGGACACCACAGUCCCCUUCUUAUCCCCAGCGGUAGGACCUCUGCUAAACUUCUAAUGAGUGAAACACAACAUGCAUGAUCACAAACCACACUCAUUAACUUAAAAGUAUGAAUGGUUAAAUUCCAUUCAUAAGCAUCUCUUAAAAAAAUUCAUUAAUUUAAAAAUACUUGAACCAUAUAUGCUUUAUUAGAUUUUUAUCCUCUCAGUUUAGGUGUUCUGAUUAUCCUUACAAAAACAUUACUUGGUAAUUUUGGAGUUAGUAUGAUUAACACCGAUAUCAACUUGUUACCGAACUAGCAAUCUGCUUUAUCUAGAUGUGACAGUCAAUUUUCUGAUCAGUAAAAUAGCAGAAUAUCUUCUACUUGCACUGUAAUUAACUUAUUUUUUUACAUUGUGUAAAGAUAGAUUAAACACAGUUAUUAACUAAAAUGGAAUUGAACUAAUUAUACGUAUAGAAAAAGAUAAAUAAAACUGCAAAAGCGUGUGUAGCUAGACUAGUUAUGAUAAUCCAAUCAGAAUCAGAAUAAUUUUGAGUGCAGGAAGGAGGAAAAAGGAGGAAUGUAAGUAAGUAGUUGGUAACUCAGCGGUAAACCCUCUAGCAUGGCCCGUUUCUAAUCAUAUGCAAAGGAUGAUAGGACACCCACCACCUCCCAGCCAGCGGAACUACCAAAUUACCCUUGGUAGAGUGGGAAUAGUUACCAUGAUGCGUGUGUGAUGAUGAUGCCGAUGCAGUGCAGUGGGUCAAACAAACAAAACACACCCCCUGCAACAUAUCUUACACUACAUUAUUAAAUAUAUAGUUGGUGGAGUGUUUUUCUUUUUUCUUUUUUUUCUGCAGAGGUGGGCCCAUGUUAUUUUGUUCUGAAUCUUUGUCUGCCUUUGUUGUGUUUGCAUAUUUCAAUCUUCAACUCAACAGUAACAAGGAGUAGUUGUGGUAUUUGUAUUGUAUGGAUUGUAUUGUAUUUGAUUUGGAGUUUUGACUUUCCCAUUCCCAAACCAAAAUCCCCCUAGUCUCCAAAGAAACAAACAAACAAAACAAAAGCUAUCUUCCAACCCAAGUUGUCAAAUGUUCCUCUUUUCUCCAAUUCUCCAAUGGACAACCACCAAGGUGUCAUCAUUCCUUCUCUCCUGCUUUAAUGGUUUUGCUUUGCUUCCUUUUCUCCAAAAAAAAAAAUCUAUUUCAAUUUGCUCUCUCCCUCUAAAGUCUUACCUUCCCUUCUCUAGUUCUCUUGCUGAACACACUCUUAUGCUUGGUAGGUUGUGCCGUUGAGGAGAUGGGCCCUAAACUCCACUGAAGUUUGAUGGUAAGAACCAAAGGGGUCUCUUUUCCUCUUUCAGUGCUUCCCCUUUGCCCCCAAUUUCGCGCUGUCUCGCAUUUAGGUUUUCCUCUCUUUAGACUCACCAGAUAAGAUUUAGGGCAUUUGAUUUGACUAGAUUCUUGGCAAUUUUCGAUAUGGAGCUUCUCGUAUUCCACAUGGGUCUCCUUGAUCACCCUUUGUGAUUGAUUUGGUUCCUCCACACUUGCCUCGUUGUUGUGAGAGAACGUGCUUCAAGUUUUCUUCUGAAGUUUCAAUUUUCUUGGAAGUUAAAUUGAACUGGGAGGGAACUAGAAGGGGUUUAUGGGACUGGAUUCUCUCGAAUUUCGUGUUGGGUGUGGAGUUUGAGGGAUAAAGAUCGAUUUUUAGUGGUGCUGGUUGUAGAGUUAUCUUUGUCGGAAGAGGUGAAUUUGAAGCCCAGUAAGAUGGACAGAGUUAUUCAGCCUCCUUUGGUAAUUGAUUUAUACGCUUUUUCUCAUCCCGAAUUUUUCUUUUCUUUUCUAGUUUAUAUGUCAUUUUCAUGUUUAGGUUAUGAGGUAAAUCAAUACUAGGUUGGUUUGAGUUCCCAUUUUUGUAUGGUCAUUUCUUUGGAAAGUAUUGUAACUCUUGAUAUUUAGACCAUCUGAGUUUGGUCUUUCUGUGUCCAUGUUACUGAUCUAAUUGCUGAUGUUUGCCUUGCCCUAAUAUGUUGUUUCAAAAAAGCUUUAAAAAUGUUUGUCGAAAAGGAAGCUUCGAGAAAGACCUCUUUUUAGAGUGUUGUGGGGAUGAAGGAAGACUUUUGGAAUCGAUGCUUGGAGAUUCGGGUGGUUUGAAGGAGCUCUGCUCUUGUUGUGUUGCAUGACAUUACUUACUGAACAUUUCUCCUUUUACCCUUCCAUCUUCUAUAUGUUGCAUUUUAACCUCUGCGAAAUUUCUGUGUGUAAUUUUCCUUGAAACGCUGAAAUGUUGCUGCAGGCUUUUGGGUUAUGAGAGAUGAGAAACUCUUGUAUUUAAAUGCUGUAAUACGGAUAUUUAGAUAGGUAUAAUAUUUUGUAUAAUCUCUCUGCUAGAUUCUCAGUAAUGUGACACCACUUGUGUUUUUUCCUAAAUAGUUAAGCGUGUUGUACAUUCAGAAAUGUGGGGAUUGUUGGAUGCAAAACUAAUGGAUUAAAUUGCUUUCUCUAACACGGGCCAAAUAUUUCUGAGGCUUGAGAUUUGAAAUUUCCCUGGACUUAAUGAAGGUUUGAUUACAGAAGACAUUCAAAUGCCUUGUCAAAAUUGUGUCAACUCUUGCAGUUCAAUAUUCAUCAAAAUACCAUAAAGCUUUAAAUUAUUUCUCAUGAUUUAGAAACUGGUGAUUAGCUUAUGUUUACAUAUGACUUUAUCUGAGCCUGAAAGAUUACUCUCACUGAUUAAUGUUUAAGUUAUUACUCAUUAGUAAACAAGGUGCUAUCUCGGAGUAUUAUCCGUAUUAUGUGCUGAGAGACAUCAAUUUGUCAUGUUUGAUUUCAUAACUUAUCAUACUACAUAAAUAAAAAGAAAUAUGAUUUCAUUUUAAAUGUAGAUAAACAAUUUUUCUUUUUCCAAUGUGUUUAUGUAGGUCGAUACAACUGCAUGUCUAUGCAGAGUAGAUACAGGCCUAAAAACUGUUGCUGGAGCAAAGAGGUAUGUCCCUGGAACAAAGCUCUGUCUUCGGCCUGACAUUAAACCAUCUAUUCACCCAACUAGAAACAAGCCAGCACGUGGUGACAGAAGCCGCAAUCAAUCCCCACUACUUCCAGGACUCCCUGAUGACCUAGCUAUUGCUUGCCUAAUUCGUGUCCCCCGCGUUGAACAUCGGAAACUUCGGCUAGUCUGCAAAAGAUGGUAUCGUCUUUUGGUUGGUAACUUCUUUUACUCUCUCCGCAAGAGUCUCGGAAUUGCAGAAGAGUGGAUAUACGUUAUUAAGAGGGACAGAGACGCGAAAAUCUCAUGGCAUGCCUUUGAUCCUGUGUACCAACUGUGGCAGCCCCUUCCACCUGUUCCAAGGGAAUAUUCUGGAGCUCUUGGUUUUGGCUGUGCCGUUCUCAAUGGCUGUCACCUGUACUUGUUUGGUGGGAAAGACCCACUAAAGGGAUCCAUGAGACGAGUCAUAUUUUAUAGUGCUAGGACAAAUAAAUGGCACCGUGCCCCAGAUAUGCUUCGAAGGCGGCACUUCUUUGGCUCCUGUGUCAUAAACAAUUGCCUGUAUGUAGCUGGUGGGGAGAAUGAGGGUGUGCACCGAUCCUUGAGAUCAGCUGAAGUGUAUGAUCCCAACAAGAAUAGGUGGUCAUUUGUUUCCGAUAUGAGCACUGCAAUGGUGCCUUUCAUUGGAGUUGUCUAUGAUGGGAAGUGGUUCCUCAAGGGACUUGGUCCUCAUCAGCAGGUUCUGAGUGAGGUCUACCAGCCGGAGAAUGAUAGCUGGUACCCGAUUUAUGAUGGAAUGGUUUCUGGCUGGAGGAACCCUAGCACUACCCUGAAUGGAAAGCUCUAUGCCUUGGACUGCAAGGAUGGCUGCAAAGUUAGGGUUUAUGAUGAGGUAACUGAUUCAUGGAGCAAGCAUAUUGACAGUAAAAUGCAUUUGGGGAGCUCGCGGGCUUUGGAGGCUGCGGCUCUUGUUCCCCUGAAUGGGAAACUCUGUAUCAUCCGGAAUAAUAUGAGCAUUUCUCUGGUUGAUGUUUCAAAACUUGAAGAUUUGAAAGGAUCCUCCGCCGAACAGUUAUGGGAAACUAUUGCUGGGAAAGGACAGUUCAAGACAUUGGUCACAAAUCUGUGGUCUAGCCUUGCUGGGAGAAACCGACUCAAAAGUCACAUAGUUCACUGUCAGGUUCUUCAAGCUUAGAGGUUGUAUAGCUCUAAAAAAUCACAAUGAGCUUUGGUAAUCAGUUAAAGUAUCUCAUCAUGUGGAAUAUGUUCGUGAGAAGCUGGGUCAAAUCUUGCCGGAACACCAUGGUGCAGUCUAUUAUUUUGUUUCAUCUCCAACCCUUGACAUCAUGCUCAUCACAAGAGGUGGAACAUAGAUGAGAUGUUUGACUAAUCAUAGAGUUACAGAUAUUGAUACAAAGCUGUUACAUUUUGAAAAAUUGAGUAGGUUGCUUACCAGAUCACAUGGUUUAUCAUUAGCUUGUCUUUUGUGUUGCUGCAACCAUUGUAUGACUGGCGUGUUCGACGGGGAGAUGAAUAAUGCUUAGAGUCAGUUUGUAUUCUUAAGAAAUUGAGGGUGAAAAAUUCAAGAAUUAUUUUUAAAUGUAAUUUCAUAUAAAAACACAUCUAUGAAUUUUUCACCCUCAUUUUCUACAGUGACACCCAACUGACAAGCAACUCUUUGCAUAACGUGUUUAUAUAUGAGCAGAAGUGGAGUCAAGUUUACGGGUGAAAAGAUUUUUGGGUUGCAUCUAAGUUUUGUAUUGUGAUGAAACACUACUAGCCUUUUUCAAUUAAAGUUUGCACUCCUGAGUGCAAACGUUUAGAAUUGUCUUGUUUGGAAAAAUUAUUGUUAGGUAGUUUUUUAACAUGAUUUUUUGUUUAAAACUAUAACCAUGUUAUAAAAUGCAAUCUAGACCUGAGAUGUGGUGUAUAUUGUCAAAGUCAGAAACCUUUGUAGCAAGACCAAAUGCUAGGAGCAAAUAUAUCUCAGAAACUAUCCCCAUUGUAACGUCUCCAUGAUGGUAUAAUUUUUGUGCCCAUGUUUUAGAGUACUGCUAAUAUAAACACAAAAGUUAAAUGCAAUUAUUGCCCAAAAAAUGAAAUAACAAUUCUGUGUACUUUUUUCGUCAUCAUUACGAACCUUGGCUUGUCUGUCAGGUUGGCUGUAUCAGCAUUAAAAAAGAAAAGAAUAAAAAAAGUGGAAGAGCCUAUAAACAUAAAUAUAGAAGGGUGGAGAAAAAAUAAAAGGUGGAUACAGUGUUUUUAAAAAUAGAAGUAAUUAACCCUUUUUAUUACAGCGUUCCUAAAUAGUUUAUAAAAUUAGACAUGUCAAUUAGGUAACUCUGCUGUCAAUGUCUACAAAAGUUUUAACACGUGAGUCGAGUUUUUCUAAAGGAAAGAGUCUAAUUUAAAAUGAGAGUUCCAAAUAAUAAUUACUACAAAAAUUAAUACAAAUGAAAAAAAUAAUAUUUUGCUUGAAAAAAUUACAAUUUGUUUUAAAUUAUUAUCAUUGAAAUUCUAGUUCAGCAUAACUUAAUUAUGAAUCUCAGAACAAAAAUAUUUAUACAAGGAAAAAAAACAUAAACAUAAAAAGAAAAAUAAUAAUAUUAAAUAAAGUUACGAAGUUAAAUUAGUAUAACCAUUAUAAACUAAAAUGUAUUUUAUAGUUAAUAAAGAAAUUUUACAUUUAUUUCAUUAAAAAAUAAAUGCAUUUAUAUUUAUUAUAUUUACUGUAUCCUGGUCAAAAUAUGUUUUAUUAUAUCAGAAAGUUGAUAUAACAUAAUACUAAAUUAAUUAAGGAUGCAAAUAUGUUUUAUCUAAAUAAAUUUAUGAUAAUAUCAAUAAAUAGGAAAGAUAAAUAGUUAAUUGAUAUAAAAUUACUAUAGCAUCUACAACAACAACAAAAAUAUUUAAUUUUCAGUAUUAACUAAGGGAAAAUUCUUAACUCCUUUGUAAACCAUUAAUAGUACAAAAUUACUUUUAACUCUUUCCAGUUUUGACAGAACAUUUUGGUGUUUAAUAAAAGUUUACAUUAAGAAUUUAAGAUAAUACUCACUUAAUAGAAAAAUUAUUUUACAAAUUCAAAUAAGUAAAUCUCGAACCAAGUUAAUUAAAAUAGAAAAUUUAUUAUUACAUAUAUGUUUAAAAAAUAAAUCAUGCCGCGUGAAAAUCAGUUAUUUUAAAAAUAAACCAUAUUGUAAUUAUAAACAACACUUAUUAUCAAAGUCGUUUAUAAAUAUUUUUUUAAUGACUGUGUAAGUUAUGUUUAUAAUUAAAGAAAAAAUAUAUUAUGUAAAUGUAAUUAAAUAAAUGUUAUAGUUAAACCCUAAAUUUUGUACACAAUAAUUUAUAUAAAUAAAAACGUAUACAGAUCACAUAAACCUAUACAAACAUAAAAUUAUAGUCUAGUUUAAGAAGAAAAACUUAAUUUUUUACAUUUUAGAUGUAACAUUUUUAGUAAAUAAAUUGUAUUUUUUUUACCGAAUUUUUUUUACUACAAUUUGAUUUUUAAUGUUGUCGUGGGUCAAAUCCUCUUUGAGAGCUUAAGCUUUUUCAACUUAUUCAUUAAGUAUAUUAAUAAAAAAAAAAGGACUUAUUUUAAAAGUGGACUAGGGUUGAUUUUUGGAAUCAUGGGUUAAAACCAUUAUUUGAGACUAACUACAAGAAUUUUUGGGAUUUAGUGGAUCGUAUAAGUGUUUUUAUUUUUGUUAAGAAGAAAUUAAACACAAAAAGAACAUAUCCAGAGAUUUUGUCAUUUAGCAUAUUAAAAGAUGUAUUAAUAGAACUGUUUAUAUAAAAUAUUGUAACGAUGUAAUAUUUUUUUUUAUAUCUCAGUAGAACAAAUGACUUUACAAAGACUCCCUUUUAAUUCAAAAAUAUUCAACAAACUUCAUUCCUAACAAAUUUAUCAAAUUUUCAAAAUUCUCUUGUCUAAAUAAUUUAGUAAAGACAUUUAUCACCAAAUCUUCAUUACAGUAAUAUACCAAUUUUAAUUUAUCUUUGCUUAUUUGUUUCCUUAGAAAGUGUCUAUGUUUGCUUCUAUAGUAAAAUAGUAGUUGAUUUGUUGUCAAACUAGUACUUUAACAGUGUAAUGUAUGAAAAAUAUUUAAAUAAAAAAAAUUGAAUUAUAAUUUUUAAAAAUAAAACAACAAUAAUUAUUUAUUUUUUGUAAAAUCACAAUUGUUAUUAUAAAGCACAACGCAUUAAAUAGGAAAUGAAAAUAGUUAGAUGAAAUAAAAAUUAGAUGUAAAAAUGAUAAUUGAAAAUAAUAAAGCUAAAAAUCAAAUUGACCAAAACAUGUAAAAGAAUCAGGCAUGAUCAUGACAACAGAUAGACUAUGUUGCAAUAUAAUAUAUUUAUUAUAUAAAUUUAAUUCAAAAAAAUAAAAGGAUUUUAAAUAAUAAUAAUAAUACUGUGUAUAAUAUAUAUGCAAAUUCACUAUUUUAUAAUUUUGGAAUAAUAAUUAUAAAAAAAUCAAAUAAAGUAACACGUAUCAUUAUAAUUUUGUAUGAUUCGUUGUAUGAGGAUGAUCUCAUGACGUAUUCAAUUAAGUUGUAUGAUUGUUUGUCCCAGAUGUCUUCCUCUUGAUUUGAUUAACUAGGUGAGUUCUGUAUAGGCAGACUUGGAAGUAAGUAUAAUAAAGAAGGUUAUGAUCGAGUUCAUGUACAAGAGUUAGAUUACUCCUAAAGUGAUUCAUAUUUAUUUAAUUUUUUUUGCCGAUAAAAAAAAUCAUUAUAAUUUUGUUGUUUGAAAAAAUACUUAUUUGUUAUUCAAUAUGUUUCUUCCUCCUAUCAUCAUGUUCAAUUUGAUUUUUAAGACUCAUUUCAUUAGAAAUUGAGUGACAUAACUUUACAACUUAAUCUUGACAUAGAAACACUUUAUUUGAAGCAAGUUUAACAAACAAAACAUUUACAUGUAAAAGUAAAAAAAGUAAAUACUAUAUCAGAUUUAUAAUAUCAUUAAAUUUUAUUAGAACAUAUCUCAACAAUUUGAAAGAGAGUAAACAUUUGAUAACACUGCACAUAAUUUUUCAUCUUUCAAUAAAAUCAAGCAACGAGUAAUAAUAAUAAUACUACUAAUAAUAAUAAAUAUGAUACAAUAAAAUAAUUAAAUAUUGUAAGAUUGUUUGUAAUUGGUGAAAAUAUUUAAAAGCAAAUUUAUUAUCUUUUAAAUUUAAAUAUUAAAACAAAUCUCAAGACUAGAGAGUGAACAAAUUUAAUAUUUUUUUUAACUCAUCAAAUUAUCAUUUAACACUACAUUAAACUUAAUUUUCUAACAAAACCAAACUCAAUUAAAAAAUACUAUGUAAUAAAACAAUUCAGUACGGUAAAAAGGUAAUUUAUGAAAAACAUUUCAAAACAAAUAUAUUAUUUUUCAAAUUCAAAUAUUAGAAAAAAAAAAACAACUAUUGAAAGAGAACAAACAUAUUUGAUCUUAAGAUAACGGGUAACUUAGUACAUUAUCAGUUGACACAGUAUGAAACUUUUCAGUUUUCAAUAAAAUCAAUUACAUAAUUCAUAAAUGAGUAAUAAUAAUUAAAAAAAACACGAUACAAUAAAUAAAAGAACUAAAUACUUUAAUAUGAUAAUUGAUGCAAAAAUAAUAUUUAAAAAUUAAUUUACUAUUUUUAAAUUUAAAUAUUAAAACAUAUCUCAAUAAUUAAAAAAUAGUGAAUAAAUAUAACAUUUUGAUAACUCAUAAAGUUAUCAUUUAUUACUCUAAGAAAAUUUGCAGUUUCUAAUAAAAUAAUAAUAAUAAUAAUAAUAAUAAUAAUAAUAAUAAUAAUAACAAAAAAUAUAAAGGACUUAUUGAUGCAAACUAUUUAAAGAUAAAUUUAUUAUUUAUUAUUUUUUAAAUUUAAUUAUUGAAACAAACCUCGAUAAUUUAAAGAGAGUGAAUAUAUUUCACAUUUUCGUACUUUAAUAAAUUUAAAUGUAGGAUUUUUUUCACUUUCUACUAAAAUCAAACACACAAUUAGUAAAUAAGUAAUAAUAAUAAUAAUUAAAAAUAUGAUAUAAUAAAACAAUUAAAUAUUACAAAAUACUAGUUGAUGCAAAAUAUUUACAAACAAAUUUAUUGUUGUUUAAAUUCAAAUAUUGGAACAAAUUUCAAUAAUUAAAAAAAAUAAAAAAAUGACAUUUUAGUAACUUAGUUAACACUAAACACUGGCAUCAAAUUUUUUAGUUUCUAAAUCAAACAUAUAAUUCGUUAAUAAUAAUAAUAAUAACUACAAAACAUAAUACAAUAGAAUAAUAAAAUAUUGUAAAAUGAUAAUUGAUGAAAAAUAUUUAAAAAUAAAUUUAUUAUUUUUUAAAAUACAAAUAUUAAAAUAUACCUCAAUAAUUAGAAGGAAGUAAUAUGAUAUUUUGGUAAGUCACCAAAAUAACAUUUAAUACUGUAAAAAAAAUCAGUUUAUAACAAAAAGCAAACAUUCAAUUCUUAAAUCAAUAAUGAUAAGAAUAAUUAAAAAAAAUAUAUACAAUGAAAUAAUGAAUGAUUGUAAAGCUAUAAUUGAUACAGAAUAUUUAAAAAUAAAUUUAUCAUUUUUUAAACUGAAAUAUUAACAAAUAGAGUGAAAAGAUUUGACAUUUCCAUAAUUCAAUAACUUAUCCUUUAACUCUUCCCGAUCAUUUACAAUUUCUAAUAAAACCAAAUAAACAUUUCGUAAGUAAAUGAGUAAUGAAAAUACUAAUAAUAAUUAAAAAAAUACAUUAGAAAUAUUAAAUAUUGUAACAAGGUAUUUGAUUCAAAAUAUUUAUAAUUUUUUUUUAAAUUCAAAUAGUGAAUCAGAUCUCAAUGAUGGAGAGUGAAUAUAUUUGACAUUUUUUUAACUCAACAAGUUAUCAUUUAACAUUAUAUGGAACUCUUAAGUUUCCAAUAAAAUCAAAGCAUGGGCACGUGGAAUCCCGUGUGAAUCAGCAAGGACCACCUUGCAAGGCUAAAUACUCCUGGGUGACCGAUAGUGAAGUAGUACCGUGAGGGAAGGGUGAAAAGAACCCUCAUCGGGGAGUGAAAUAGAACAUGAAACCGUAAGCUCCCAAGCAGUGGGAGGAGGCUCAGCCCCUCUGACCGCGUGCCUGUUGAAGAAUGAGCCGGCGACUCAUAGGCAGUGGCUUGGUUAAGGGAAACCACAGGAGCCGUAGCGAAAGCGAGUCUUCAUAGGGCAAUUGUCACUGCUUAUGGACCCGAACCUGGGUGAUCUAUCCAUGACCAGGAUGAAGCUUGAGUGAAACUAAGUGGAGGUCCGAACCAGACAGAUUCGUAAAUAAGUAGUAAUAAUAAUAAUUUUAAAAACACUAUUCAAUAAAGAAUUCAAUAUUGGAAAAAUGUAACUGAUGCAAAAUAUUUCAAAACAACUAUAUUGUUUUCCAAAUUCAAAUAUUGAAAUAGAUUUAAAUUAUUAAGAGAUGCAACAAAUUUGACCCUUAACUUAGUAAAUUAUCAUUGAAUGUUAUAUGAAACUUUUCAGUUUCCAAUAAGAUAAAACACUUAUUAGUAAAAGAGUAAUAAUUAAAAAAAAUAUAAUAUAAUAAAACAACUAAAUACUUAAAAAUGAUAAUUGAUGCAAAUAUGAAUUUUAGUAACUCUGGCAAAUUAUCAUUUAAUAUUUUUUACGAAAUUUUCUAGAAAAAUCAAACAUUAAAUUCGUAAAUGAGUAAUAAUAAUAAUAAUAAUAAUAAUAAUAAUGAUGAUUUAAAAAAAUCAUACAAUAAAAAAAUAAAAUAUUAUAAAAGAGAAAUUGAUGCAAAAUAUUUUAAAAAAAAUAUUAUUUUUUAAAAUUUAAAUAUUGAAAUAGAUAUCAAUAAUUGAAAAUGAGUGAAUGAAAUUGAUCUUUUCGUAACUCAAUAAAUUAUGAGAGGAAAUUUUUCAAUUUCUAACAAAACAGAGUAAACAUUUCGUAAAUGAGUAAUACAAAUAAUUUUAACAAUUAAAAAAAUAUGAUAUAGUAAAACAAUAAAAUAUUUUAAAAUUUAAUUCAUACAAAAUAUUUAGAAUCACGUUUAUUGUUUUUGGAUUUGAUAUUUUGGUAACUCAUCAAAUUCUCACUUAACUCUUUUCGAAACUUUUAAGUUUCCAAUAAAACUAAACACAUAAUUUGUAAAUGAUUAAUAGGUAGUAAGAAUGUAAUUGAUGCAAAAUAUUUCAAAACAAAAAUGUUGUUUUUCAAUGCUUGAUAUUGAAAUAGAUAUUAAGUAUUGAAAGAGAGUGAACAAAUUUGACCUUAGGAUAACUUAUCAAAUUAUCAUUUAAGACUGCAUGGAACUUAUCAAUUUCGAAUAAAAGCAAGAACAUAAUUUGUAAAUGAAUAAUGAUAAUAAAAAUAAUUUAAAAAAACACGAUACAAUAAAAUAACAAAAUAAAUACUUUAAAAAGAUAAUUGAUGUAAAAAUAUUUAAAAAUAAAUUUAUAUUUUUUAAAUUCAAAUACUAGAACAUGCUUCAAUAAUUAAAAAAUAGUGGAUAUAUAUCACAUUUUUAUAAUUCAAUAAAUUAUCAUUUAAUACUCUAAAACACUUGUCAAUUUGUAACAAAAUCAAAGGCACAAAUCAUAAAUUAGUAAUAAUGAUAAUAAUUGAAAAAAUAUGAUACAAUAAAACAAUUAAAUACAAUAAUUGAUGCAAAAUAUUUAAAAAUAAAAUUAUUGUUUUUUAAAGUCAAAUUUGAAACUGCCCUUGAUAAUUCAAAGAGUAAAAUAUUUAACUUUUUAGUAACUUAAUAAAUUAUUAUUUAAUAUUAAAGAAAUUUUCUCCCUUUCUAAUAAUAUGAAACAUACAAUUCCUAAAUAAUUUAUGAUAUUAUUAAUAAUAAUUAAUAAUUAUAAUAAUUAAGAAAUAUGAUACAAUAAAUCAAUUAGAUAUAAUAAAAUACUAAUUGUUGCAAAAUAUUUAAAAACAAAUUUAUUGUUGUUUAAAUUCUUGGAACAAAUCUUAAUGAUUGAAAAAAAAGUGAAUGCAUUUAAUCUUUUUGUAAUUUAGUCAAUUACCAUUUCACUUGAAACUUUUCAAUUUUAUAAUAAAAUCAAACAUUUAAUUUGUAAAUCAAUUGUGAUAAUAUUAAUUAAAAAAAUAUGAUAUAAUAAAAGUUAAAUAAUAUAAAGAAAUAAUUAAUGCAACAUAUUUAAAAUCAAAUUUAUUAUUUUUUAAAAUUUAUAUAUUGAAACAAAUCGAACGUAAAUAGAUUUAUUUUUUUCGUAAAUCAAUAAAUUACCAUUUAAUACUGCAUGAAAAUUUUCAAUUUCUAAACGAACAUUUUGUAAAUUAGUAAUAAAAAUACUAAUAAUGAUUAAAGGGAAUAAUACAACAAAGAAUUAAAUAUUGUAAAACGGUAAUUUAUUCAAAUUAUUUAAAAACAGAUUUAUUAGUUUUUAAUUUCAAAUAUUGAAACACUUGAGCGGGAGUAGAUCUAUAUGACAUUUUGUAAUUGAGCAAAUUAUUAUGACAAAAUUUUAAGUUUCCAAACAUACAAUUUCUAAAUAAGUAAUACUAAUAAUAAAAAAUAUGAUACAAUAAAAUAAUUAAAUAUUAAAAAAGAGUAAUUGAUGUAAAAUAUUUAAAAAUGAAUUUAACUUUGAUUAAAUUCAAAUAUUAGAAGAGAUAUCGAUUAUCAAAAUAGGUGAACAAAUUUAAUCUUUUGGUAACUUAGACAAAUAUCAUUUAACACUACAUUAAACUUUUCAAUUUUCAAUAUAACCAAGCAAAACUAAUUUUGCUCGUGAACGCAUGGGAUUUAUUUCAAAAAUAGAAUAUAUUUAUUAUAUAAAUUUAAUUUGAUAAAAACAAAAAUAAUUCGAAAAUUAAUAAUAAAUAAUUUUGGUUUACAUGUUGUUAUUAUCAGAUAAACACUGUAUCAAAACAUGCAUUAGGAGCAUUUGCAAUUGGCAAGGGUCUUUUAAGAUUUAGUUUAAUAUCAUUACAUUAAAUAGAAAUCAAUUUUAGAGAUAAAAAAUAAUUAGUUGCUAUAUUGACUAAAUUAGAUACUAUUUUAGAGACUAAAAAAAUUAUUGGUUUCUACAUUAGUUUCUAAAUUGAUAUCUAAUUAACUAUCAAUGUUUUAACUACCAAUUAUUUAGAUUAUAAAUUUGGUAAGGUAGGAUGGUUUUUGAUAUUUAAUAAUGAUUUCUUGUAUUUUAAAAAUGCAUAGAUUGUUUAAGUUUCAAUACUCAUCCAAUUAGGGGUGACAAUGUGGGAUGACUUACUUCGUAUUGGCCCACAAAAAUCUGCGUCAGGUUGGCAUGCCUAGCUUAAGUUAUGUGGAAUGAAUUUAUUGACUCGUCUCACAUAAGAGAUGCUCUGCGAGCCAACCCUCCUAAAAAUAUUAAAAAUAAAAAAAUAUUAAUGCACUUGUAAUAUAUAUAUAUAGAAAACAAAAGUUGAAGAAGACAAUUUUGUAUUUUUUUUAAGGUUUAGGGCUGCAUUCCUUCAAAUUUCUUCCUCCGCCUCAUAAAUUUUGGUAUUUAAUUUCAAUAACAUAAAAUUCAAUUCUAAAAAUGGAAAUUUAUAAAAGAAAAAAUAAAUUCGGAAUAACCUUUUCAAAACAACUAUUUUACCUUAUGGAAUCUAGAACAACUAUUUUGGCUUUCGUAAUUCUAUUUUUGCAAUUGAUGGGGUGCAAGAAGAAAUUGAGGGGAGUGCAAAAAAAACACCAUUUUUAAUAAUAUGUGGGUUAGCGAGUUGGCAUGUGCAGGUUGUGAAUUGUGAGGGACGGGAUUAAGUGAGUCAACGGACAAAAAUAGUGCAUCUAUCCGUGAUUUUUAUAGUAGGUUGCGGGCUAGUCCUCACUGUUCGUCUUUCAUUGUCACCCAUACAUCCAAUGUAGUAGUCAGACCUAAGUCAUUUUUAAAAUAAAUUUUAAAUAUAGUGUUAUAUAUAAUAAAUAUUAUUUUAUACUAAUUUUUCAAUUAGAAUAAAUUUAUGUGUCUAGUAUUACCUUAAAAAAGUGUAGAUAUUUAAUAAAAUAUUUACAUAUUUAAUCAAUUUAGUUUAAAUCUAAAUUUAAUUAAAAAUUAAAAUAUUAUAAUAAUUUUGUACCCAUUAUUAUGCAUGUUGUGUUGUGAGUAUGAUCAUUUGUCAAAUUCAUUUAAAUAAGAAAAAAUAGUGUGAUUCAAAAUUUAUAUUUGCAAAAUUAUUUAUUAUUUAAAAAAAAUAGUUUUUUUUAUGCGAAUCAACCCUUAUACAAGAUGAUCAACAAAAUUAAUUCACAUUUUUUUAUGUGAGGCGGAUCAAUCCAUAUUCUCAUUCCUAUAUUGAUUGCACUUGCCAUCACUAAUAUACACCAACUAGCAUAUUUUCUAAUGAUUUUUGGUCAUCAUUUAUUGUUAAAAAAAUAACAUUACCAACCAACAAAUUGUAUCCGUCAAUAAUAUCAUAUUUUCUUAUAUUGCAUACAUUUUUAAGGUAUGUCGUUUUGAAAAAUAAUGAUGAGUGAAUGACAGCCAAAGAACCCCUGUAUCACUCAAAUGUCCAUAAAGCUAACCAUCCUACCAUAGGAAUUUAGUUCAACACCACCAAACCUCUUUAGAUCUCAAAACCUAUCCUAUGCAUGAUUUAUUUUAGAGAAAAAUAUGGGAGGAGAAACUUACCUGAAAACCACACCAUAAACUAAAAAGUUAUACUCUUUCUUCUCAUAAGAUUAGGGUCCAGAAUCCAUCAUAAGAAGAUAUGGAUCCACAUUAGAGAGUUUAAGAUAGAAAUGGAAAGGUGAUAAUAGAAGAAAGAUGGAACAUACAGGAAAAAUAAAAAAAGGGAAGCUAGUGUUUUUAAAGCAAGAAGAGGUUGUAUUUAUCAUGGAAACCCAAAACUUACUAAGUUCACACUUUCAUAUUUCUAUUUAUCUGUUUUUAUCCCACAUGAUAGUCCCCAAGGUCCUAAUUAAUUAAAAUUGACAUUUUAAUAAAGUUUAUAAACUCAAUACUUAAGCUAGUUAAAGUAUUUUCUAACUUAUAAAUCAAAAUCUUUUAAAAUAAGUUAUUUUAAAUAUGUUUCCAAAUAGUUUUUAUUGAUAAACUAUUGUUAAACACAUUCAAAAUGUUAAUAUAAAUGAUUAAAAUUAGUAGUGUUUAUAACUAAUAUUACUUUUUUAGUUAAUACUAUUUUGUUACUUUUUAUAUUAAAAAGUAAUACAGUACUUAUUAUUUAGUCUUUUUUUAUUUAAUAAUUAUAUAGAAAUAAAUGGAUAAAAAAUGAAUAAAAUUUAUGAUGAAACGGCAUAAGUUAUAGAAAAGAAAUGGAAAGUUUUGAUGGUAAGGAAGGAGUGAAGUAAUAUAGUGAGAGAAGGGAAUGGGAAAAAAGGAAUAAGAAAGAGCAGUAGUAGUAGGAGUAGCUCCAAAUCAAACGCCCGCAUAUCGUUACGAAUAAUGGUCAUGCGUUCCGGUUGUGGUUGGUUGGGGGUUGCGCUACAUCCCCUUCCCCACCACGCAAACAUUUAUUUCAUGUUCAGACCCUGCAAAUACCCACCCUCAUUUUCUACCAGCUUUUCCUCAAAUCCCCUUUCGACACCUGGCCACCUGGUCCCACUACCAAAAAGAUAUUUCACGUGACCCAGGAUUCUGCACGAUGCCUCCCUCCCACGUCACCCAACUGGACCCCACACCUCUUUCUUCCUCUCUCCAUUCCCUUCAAUGUCUUUCUCCUCUGCACUUCACCCGUCGUUUUCAGAGCCACUCUGCUAUAUAAACACCCAUUUAAACUCUUUCAAUAUUAUUAUCAUUAUUAUUACCUCCCAAAACUCCUCUUCUUCCUCACUUCACUCCUUUUUUCGCCACAUAAACAACCAUUCACCAUGCCAUGGUCUUUUGCUUCCCCUUAUGUACCUCCGCAUCGCCACUCUAACUACAUUCCACCUUCCUCCGACGAUCCCGCUCACCACGGAUUUCCCCGUGCUGGAGCUUGGCCGCGCGGCGGUGCCCGUGGUGCCUCCGGUGGUCGAGGAUUCUCUCGCCCCCGGGAGCCUUAUCAACCGAACUCCAGCUUCCCUACGGAAGAACCAGAAAACGGCGAGGCUAUCAACUUCGACGCGUACGAGUCGGUUCCGGUCGAGGCGAGUGGGAAUAACGUGCCUCCGCCGGUGAACGUCUUCGACGAUACGGACUUGGACGAAGGGUUGAAGAAGAACAUCAAGCGAUGCAAGUACGUGAAACCCACGCCCGUUCAGCGUCACGCGAUUCCCAUAGCUACCGCUGGCCGUGACCUCAUGGCGUGUGCACAGACAGGGUCGGGGAAAACGGCGGCGUUUUGCUUUCCCAUCAUAUCUGGGAUUUUGAAGGGUCGUUCCUCUCCUGGGUUUUCGCCUGUGUCUCGUGGUGCUGCUGUUGCAUACCCCACUGCACUUAUUUUGUCUCCUACGAGGGAGUUGUCUUGCCAGGUUUCUUUAUUUUGCUAUACGGAGUCCAUGUUAUUAGGUUUUGUUAUUUUAAAAAUGAAUGAAUAAUAAAAACUGCUCAACUAUUCUAUUUUUAUUUUAUUGUAUGUUUUAAAUAAAUUUUUUGUUAGAUACGCGACGAGGCGAACAAAUUUGCAUUUCAAACUGGAGUGAAGGUUGUUGUUGCCUAUGGAGGGUCUCCUAUCAUUCAGCAGGUGUGUUUUUGACAUGCAUAUACCCUUUUACAAAGUUGGUGUCUUGUGUCUCUUUAAAUGAAGAUUUAGUUAUUGAUUCUUCAUUUCAUUGUUUUCAAAUGGCAAAAGCUGCGCCUUUUGGAGAAGGGAGUUGACAUAUUGGUUGCCACUCCUGGGCGUUUGGUGGAUAUUAUCGAGAGAGAAAGGGUUUCAUUGGCGAGGAUAAAGUAUCUUGCUCUAGACGAAGCUGAUCGUAUGCUGGACAUGGGUUUUGAGCGUCAAAUACGCAAGAUUGUGGAGGAAAUGCACAUGCCACCGCCAGGUAUUAGGCAGACAUUGUUGUUUAGUGCAACCUUCCCUAAUGAUAUACAGGUAUGGAAAGUAUUGGGUUGCUUUAAUAUUUUUUUUUUAUGUUCUUAGUGGUGCGUUUUUCAUGCUUCAUUGUAAUAUUUUAUUACUGCCUCUUGAUGUAGUAUUUCAUUGAUGACGCAGAAGCUAGCAUCGGACUUUUUGAUGGACUACAUAUUCCUGUCUGUUGGGAGAGUUGGGUCUAGUACUGAAUUGAUUGUGCAGAAGAUUGAGCUUGUACAUGAUACAGACAAAAGAGACAAACUUGUUGAUCAUCUUCGUCGCCAAAAGGUGCAUGGGACCAAUGGGAGGGUAAGAAGUGUGUAUGCCCGUUUGACAAUUGGUUUGCAAGUGCUGUUUGUUGGGUAAUGGGUUUAAUUAUCUAUUUUUCUGCAACGCAGCAUGCUUUAACUCUUGUAUUUGUUGAAACAAAAAGAGGAGCAGAUGCUUUGGAAAACUGGUUAUUGAAAAGUGGCUUUCCCGCUAUUGCUAUACACGGAGACAAAGUUCAAUUGGUUAGCUAUUCUGCCUUCUAUUUUUAUUCUAUUUUAUUCUUUGGUUCUUGAGGUCUGUCCUUUUUUUCCCAUUUCGCAAUUACUUUUGGUUUUAUUGCAAUAAAUUACACUAAUCUCCAAUGCCUUAAGCUUUUUUUGGCCCUUAAUACCUAAUUCACUUCAUUAACACUCAGUUUGUUCACCUGCCGCAUAACAUCCUUUUACUUUUUAAAAAAAGUUGAGAGGUCAUGUGUAGUCUCAACAUUUUCAGGGAUAUUGGUGUAAUUUGCUCUGUUUUUUACGGUUUUCCGCUCUUGAGAAUCAAUUUUAUUCUAUGUUUUUCUAUGUGACAUAUUCAUUGAAUGAUUAUUGUUUCGCUGUUUAGGAAAGGGAACGGGCUUUAAGAUCUUUUAAAUCUGGAAAUACUCCUAUUUUGGUUGCAACUGACGUUGCUUCGAGGGGAUUGGAUAUCCCGCAUGUGGCUCAUGUCAUAAACUUUGACUUGCCUAGAGACAUAGAUGACUAUGUACAUAGAAUUGGACGAACAGGCCGUGCAGGCAAAUCUGGUUUAGCCACUGCUUUCUUCAGCGACAAGAACAGUCCAAUGGCAAAGGCUCUUGUUGGAAUCUUGCAGGAGGCAAACCAAGAAGUUCCUUCUUGGCUCAUCCAGUUUGCAGAGGGUUCCUCUUCAGGUAGCCGUGGUUAUGGAUCACAGCGUUACAGCGGUGGUAGCUAUGGCGGUGGAUUACAGCGUUACGGCAGUUGUAGCUAUGGAGGUCGUGACUUUCGAAAUCCCACUGAACCUGAGGUGCAGAGGUACGACAGUGGUAGCUAUGGCGGUCGUGAUUUUCGAAAUCCCACUGAACCUGAGGUCCAGAGCUACAACUGCUACGGUUCUCAUGGCAAUGCUGAUCAUGGUGUAGAGUCUGUAGGUACAACCUCAUACAUUGAUACCUCGUACGACAUGCAAAACUCCCUUAUAGAAACCUCUUUUGACAGUUUGAGUAUAAACUGCAGUAAUGAUCAAACUGAUGUCAAAUCUGGUGAAUUGUGUGGAGAUGGGAAGGUUGGUGAAGAUGGGCCUAGCGGUUAUGAAGCUAUUGUUCCCACUGGAUGGGACUAGACUUGUAUAGUUGGUAGCAGCAUGUUUUUUUGGCGUUAGAGGGUUGACAUUAUAAUCUACAUACUACAUUGAUAUUAGGUAGCAAACAUUCCUGGUUCCAAAUUAUGCCACACUUUUUGUGCACCCUCUACUCAUAAUAGAAUAGAUGAUUUGGAUAUAAUGUUUUACUUAUGGACUUAUUCAAUCAUUAAUGUUCACAGACUUUUCUAUAAUUUGUUUCCCUUUGUUACUAUAUAUAAUUUAUCAGUAAAAUCCUUAUUAUUUAAUGAUAGUGUUCUUAAUUUAAUUCAAUAUUUUGCAUUAUAUAGUUUUAAAUGAUCUGGAUAAUUAGAAAAGGUCGAUAACAUUUUGAAGUUAAUAGUUUCGCUUGUCUAAAUGCUAGUCUUUGUAGAGGGAAGGUUUAAAUUGCAAAGAUGAAACUAAUGUUUCUUUGUAAACUACUAGUGCUCUUUAAUUUAAAAAUAAUAAUGUCAUUGUCUUCUUUCUAUUCAAGCUAUAUAUUAUUUAAAAUUCAAUAUAAAAAAUAUUGGAAUGACUUUUACUUCCCUUUUAAACUUUUUAUAUUUGUACAAACUUGGAGUAUUAAAAACCAAAUAAUCUUUAUUGGGGUAAUUGACAAUAAUUACAAUAUUUUGAUAUAGGCCAUGAAAUUUAAGAAAAUAUUACUAGUGUACUGUGGAUCUUCAGUUAAUAUCUGAUGUCUCCUAAUAUAAAAAAAUAUUAAUAAUUUAUUGAUCAUUGCUUAAAGCACUUAAAUCAUGCUACAAAACAAAACUACUGCCUUACCUAUGAAACUCUGGACAUUCCUCUUAAAUGACGUGCUCGUAUGACAUCUGUAGGACACGUAUAUGUGAAGUGUCCAAUUUAAAAAGUAUGUUAGAUUUCUGACAAUUCUAGUACAGUUCUAACACAAUUUCAAAAAAGAAAAAUACAUUAUUUUUUUAAAAUGCAAACUUUAUUGUAUAAAUUGUUAUUGUGAUUAUAAAAAUAAGAAGCAAAUCCUUGUGAAUCAGUCAUGAAAAACAUCUUUCUACUCCAAAAAAUAAUCUGGAACAUACUUGUGAACAUAAAUUUUUAUUGUCAAUUUAUAUAAAUCAUAAUUAUAUAAUAUAUAGAUUCGUGUCCUACAUUUUAGAGAUUUUACGUAUCUCCGUAUCCAUGUCCGUGUCGUACCAGUGUCCGUGUGAGUGUCUGUGCUACAUAUUACCGCUUAGGUGGAUUCCAAUUAGACUUUACAAUUUUUUUAUGUUAUAUUUUUAAAUAUAUAAUUCACAAUAAAUAAUUUAUAUAUUUUUAUAAUAAUUACUUGAAAAUGGCUCCUAACGUGUAUUUAAAUUGGUUGUAAUAAAUGUUAUUGCGAAAAUUUAAUUUAUAAUAAAUAUUAUUACAGGCAAACAAUUUUUUUUAAAAUAAAAGCUUUCAUAUUAUAUUUCAUUAUAUUUUAUCAUUAACUUUGCAUCCUUUGAAAGUAUGUAUGAUUAAUUAGAAGUUUAACUUAGUAGUUUUAUAUCUUUUUACUAUUUAAAAAAAUAUUUUGUACUGUUUAAUCUUGUAACUUAUAUUUGAUUCUCUUUAUCUUUUAUACAUUUAUUUUAUUUCUUCUAUAAUUUUUUGGAUAUAUAUUAAUCCUCUGUGCCUAUAUUUUGUAGGCAUUAGACAAUUUAUAUUUGAAUCAUUUUUCAUAUAAUACAUUAAUUUUUAUAGUAUUUUUCUAACUUUCUAAAUUAUAAAAAAAUAUUAAUUAAAAAUGUUAGUGAUAGAAAAAUUUCAAAACAGCUCACGUAGUUAUAAUACAUUCUUGCAACAUAGGUUAUCUCGUUGAAGUAAAAAUAUUAGUUUUCGAAUAUUUUCUUUUGACAAUGACAAUAUUUACAAAUAUUGAUAAUAUUCAAUAAUUUUAAAAAUAACUAAAAUUCAAUGUAAUUUAAUAUUUUUAAUAGGACUUUUGUUUAUUUUGUUCAUAUUUCUUUUAACACCAGAUCGAUUUAAGAAAAAUGGAAGUAAAUAAUACCAAAUUAAUUUAGGAAAAAUUAAAUUUGUUUUAUUGUAAGAAAAAUUCCAAAGUAAAUUGCAUAUUUUAAAAUUUGCUUAAAUAGGCAGUGAAUAAAAAUAUUAAUUAUUUUUAUGUAUACACAAAAUAAUCCAAAUUAAAACAGUGAACUGUUUUCUUAAAAAAAUUAAUUUGUAACUGAAUAUAUCAUUUACAUCAAAAUAUUUCUAUGAAAUUUAAUUUUAAUUCUCUUCUUUAAGAAAAUCAAAAUAAAUGAAACUGGUUUUCUUAUAACUUUUUAAAUGAUUAAUAAAAUUAUCAAAUAAUUUACAAUAAUAUCUAUGCAUAUUUUUUUUCUUAAUUCUAUGAACAUAUUAGCAAAUCAACUACAAAUAUUAUUCUUUAAUAGUUUAAAAUUUAUUUAUUUUUUAAAUAAUUUACAAAUUAAAUUGCAAAGCAGACUUGGUUGUUUGGAUUGGGGUGGUAGUGAAAAAGAAAAGAAAGAAAAUGAAAAAUGAAGAAAAAAAAAUGAAAAGUAAAAAUAAAUAAGUGAAAAGUUGAAUAGUUUAAGAAUAAUUUUAUUGAUGUUAUAGAAGAAAAAAUUAAUUGAUAUGUUUAUAAAAUAAAUAAAAUAUCCUUGUAUUAAAAAUGAAAUUGAAUUGAAUAUUAAAAAAAAUGUUUUAAUACCUAUUAUUUUCAUUCUAUUAAAUUAUUUCCGUUGCUAGCCGAGUAACUACUUCUAAAAAAAUUAUUAAUUAUCUAUUUGUUAUAAUGUAAAAAAUUAGUUUUAAUUAUAUAUGAGGCUUAAUAUAUAUAUAUAUAUAUAUAUAUAUUACUUAUUUUCCUUUAGUUGUAGAAAAAGAAAAAUAUUUAACUGUAUGAUGAAUGUCAUAAAAGGAUCCACACACAAGGAAAAAAAUUAUCAAUUAAAAUAACCGAUCUAUCCUUUGAAUAAUUUAAUGUUAUUUUUCAAAAACAUACACAUAAAAUUUUACAAAAUUUAUAUAUUAUACGUCAGUAAACUUUAUAUUUUAAAAUAAUUUAUUAUCAAUUAAAAUAAAAUAAUGUAACAAAGUUAUUAAUCAGUUUUUAAUUUCAUAAGUUUUACAAAAUUUAUAUAUUAUGCGUCAAUAUAAUUUAUAUUUUAAAUAAUUUAUCAUCAAUUAAAAUAAAAUAAUGUAACAAAGGUAUUAUUCAGUUUUUAAUUUCAUAAAUUUUACAAAACUCAUAUAUUAUGCGUCAAUAAACUUUAUAUUUUAAAUAAUUAUCUAUUAAAGUAAAAUAAUGUAACAAAAGUAUUAAUCAGUUUUUAAUUUCAAUGAUUUGAAUAAAAGACUUCAAUUUAAUGGUUGAAUGAUUAUUUAAUAAAAAAAAGAAGUAUAAAAAUUAAUAAAGUGAAUAACAAGACCGGGUAGUGUAACCCUCCAAGUGUAACAAUUAAAAAUGAAUUGAGAAUUUGGUUCCUGAUGUAGAGACGAGUCAGUGUAAAUGUAUGUAAUGAAUACAACUUUUUUCCUAAGAAGAAAAUCAACACAGCUUUAAAGAAACACCCUGGUUGAAAUGGUGAAAGUAAUAUGCAGGCAAAAGCAAAAUCUGCAAAACAAAUUAUUUUCCAAUUCCAAAAUCUUGUUUUAAUGUUGUUCAUUUGCAACAAGUAUCCUCUUGCAAGCUUCGUAGCACAUGAAAGAAAUGCCAGCAGCAGGAACCAAUUUUAAGCAGCUUGGUCCCAAACCUCAAUAAAGAUCCGCAGGUCCUUCCUUUUCAAGUAUUGUAUGGACUAAAACCUUGAUUGUAUAUAAGUAGGUUUAAAGACCACUUUAUAAUAAAUAUAGGGAUGAAGCAUGUUAUCAUGCUGUUUUCCAUUUAAAGCCCCUGCUUGCAUAUGCUUACGAACCACCUCAAGUGGAAAUGUUGCAGUGCUUGAGAAUGCACCAGCACAGCUGAUCCAAUUACAAGAGUCAUCACAUUCCCUAUGUCCUCCUUACUGAAACCUUUCUUGUAGGCUUUUCUAAGUGUGUCAUAAGCUAAAUAGUUUGUUGCAGCAUAAGGGAUCACACCAAUUAGACUAGGAGUGAGGCCCUGUACAGUUCUGCAGGACCUUCCUCUCGAAUAAUUCUCACAAAUGCAUCGACUAAGUUCUUGUACACCCCUCUCUACAAUUUUUGGAGUAUUAAUUGGCAUAAAUUUACAUCACUUGGACCAUAAAUGAGAGCAAGGUCAUCAGAGAGCUCUGUGAGUGCAUACCUGGACAGUAAGACGAGUUUUGAGUAGUUCAAGAGGGUAUGUACAUAGGGUAGAGCUAACACCAGCAACAGCACCUGCAAUUGAUGAGGCAGGAAUUGGGAUCUUUGGCUGUUCACCAGAUUUAGGAGAUAGUUGCUUUUUGACAGUGUCAUACGCAAAUAACUGCAUUUUCCACAAGAUGCCAUUAUGUGUGUAAUGAAUUUAGAUUACAAAAUGUACUGAUGGACUCCUACUUUUGCAAGUUGUAUUGAUCUGUCAGUUAGCCAACAUCGAAGUACAAAAGUGAUGAAUAAUAUGCAAAAGACAAAUCUCUCAGCUAAAUAUGCAUAUUAAUCAAAUAUUUGAGGAUAAGGAAAAGGACAAUUCCGAAGCAACAGGUUCUACGGGAACUCUCAUUAUUUCAGAAGUAGAAGUUAUGUCAUCUUGUGUAUGAGUGCCUCUGUUACACCAUAAUGGUCCAUGUCAUUCCCUAGUCAUCUUCCAGCUAAUUAGGCCCUAAUUUGAUCUUCCAUGAAUAAGAAAGCAAUGAAUCAAGUCGUUCCAAAUAAUGGAAAUGUGAGAUAAAGAAGUUAGUGACAUCAAAUAUCCAAAAAUUUACUACAUCUAUGAUGAUGUAAAGUAUUAAAAAACAUCGUGUCUACUCACUCAAUGGCCUUGCUAGGCGCAACUCGGAUGAUGUUCACAAAAUUGCCUCUGAACAGGCCCUUCCAUCCAUCGGUCUCCAUAAUAGAUUGAAACACUUGAAGUGAAGUGUGUCCACAGCUCCCAACCAUCAAAUGGGUCCUUAUGGUCUCCAAUGAUGCCACGGCUGUUCUUGACACUACACCAGCAAUUGCCCCACUCAUCAACCUCCUCAAUGAUGGAUUCCCAAUCUUAAAUUUCAAUUUAAACCCCUUCAUCUUUUUUUCACUCUUCAUACCAUGGCCUUCCUCAUCACCUUCAACUGCCUCGCCACUCAAUAAUCCUUGAGAACCCGUGCUUCGAAGACCAGCUUCAGGCAUUAAAACAUAUUUCGAGGAAGAAUAGACUAAGGAUGGUUUGGUGCCACUGUCUCUAGUACUGGCAGCAGGAGGAUUUGGUGAAAUCCCACUACCAAAUCCUGCUUGACCAACGCUUGCAAAGAAACUAGUGGGACAAACUUCACCCGCAAGAGGAGUCCCAUUCAAACUUGAUUUCGGAACUACAUAUUGUUUGAAUUUCGUUACCAAAUUCAACACCUUGCACUUGCAACCUACCUCUACCUCUACCCAUGAAUCCUAAAUUUCAAUAUUCGGAACUGCUUCUCUGUUUAAAAUGAAGCUUUAAAAGUUUUAUAAGGAAAGAGAUUAUUAAGAAUAAAUGGGCAUGCAAGAAUAUGCGAAUUUAAAACAUGAUACACCAAGUCAGUUGAGAACGAAUAAUUCAAUUCAACAAGAACAACGAAGAACAAGCCACACAAGAUAUCGAAUAAAGGUGAAGUCAAGAAUUUUCGUUGUGUGGUGAAUUUUGUCUAACAGAAGCUAUAAAUUCUGUAUCUAUCUCUGCAUCGGCAAUGAAGAUAUAGAAGGGUUUGGGGACUCUUGCUCGUGAAUUUCUAAACAGAAAAGGUACGGAAUGAAUGUGUCUGCCGCGGGCAAUGUAUCUAGUCGUUCAUUUGAUAAAUUAAAAGCUUUUUGUCAAUUAAAAGAUCUAAUUCUAAUUUUAUAUAGAUGGUAAAUAAAGAGGAUGGCUACUGAUAGAUGAAAUUAGUCUACAAAACUUGAAACCAGUAAACAAAGUUUCCAAGAACUCUACAAAACUUGUUUUAAUGUAAUCUAAUAAACUAUUUCCCAUUCGCCUUGCCUUUCUUGAAAUUUCCCUUUUUAAAAGGCUUUUUCUCAGUUUUCAAUUUCUUGUCAGCUGAUGAAGCCCUCCCUUUCUCGUUCCUUCGCUUCUUCUCUUUCUUCACAUUGUGCAUUGUGACGGCCUAGAAUUCAGAGAGUAAGAUUUUGACCAGAAAAAAGUUAAUAAAAUUGGGCAAAUUUGAAAUCCAUUUCACUGAAAGACUCUACUUUACCUUUUCAACAUUCAGUAUGUUAUGAGAAUUCUUGGAGAUGAUCUUGUUCAAUAUUUUUUCAGUUUGCUCCCUCUCCAGUGAUCCUAUCCCUGAUCCUUCAACCACUGGCAGGAACUAGAUGAAAACAAAACAACCAAAGUUAAUAAGUCAAUUUAGUUAACAAUGGGUGCUUCUAUAUAUAAAAAUUUACAUGGAUAAGAGAAACAGUUAUCUCAGAGUGUACAGUGCACAACCUUCCGAUAUUUUCCUUUAUGUUUUGCAGGCUUUUCACCAGGCAAUUUCUUGUCAAAUUUCCCACCACUGGCUGUUGCAGUUGCUGCAAUUCCUGCUACAUUGCCUAGUUCAUCCUUUGUAACUUUCUUUGGUGCUGCCUGAGUUCCUGUUAUAGGCAAAGCUGUAGCUGCCAACUGAACAUGGCUGCAUAAUAAUUUGUUCAGAUUUCAUUAAAGAUAUAUAUUAAAGAAAACAUGAAACACCAGGUCAAAACUCUACAACAAUCUAGUCAAAAGUUGACACAUUUUUAGGCAGGACAGUUGCCUCUAUAUUACUCAAUUCUAAAGCUGGGGAAAUUACCACAUGCCUUGAAAUUCAGACAUAUGAAGUUGAGAGAUGCCACCAUUAAGAACAUCAUAUACCACAAGUAAAAGUAAUUCGGGCAUUGGAGCAUUUAAGGACAUCAUCUUUUGGGUCCACUAGGACAUGUUAUCUAGCUUUACCUUUUUCUAUUUAAGCACCCACACUCUCUAGAGUACCACAGACAGAAUUUAAAUGGGUCCAACUAAUAAUCUCAUUUUAUCAAUAGAAAUAUUCAACACAGUUAAGAAAAUGAAAAGUACAAAUUAUUUAAGUUUUACAUUUUUUUAAAAUAAAAACUGACAUGGUCCCACUUAAAAAAUUAAGCAACUGGUGCUUAUUGAAAUAAAGGUACAAAGGAGGUUCUUAUUAGGCACAGGUGCUUAUAAGUAAAAGGAAGGAGUAAACCACCUCCCAAUGCAAAUUCCUAACAAGUAAAGAAACAUAUAACUAGUUGAUCCAAGACAGUAGUAUAAAAAUAAACUGCAUAUAUCAUUUGAAUUUUGUUAAGGUUAGCAUAAGAAACUUCAGUAAAGACUUUGUGAAUGAGAAAAGAAAGUAGGCAAUGGCCCAACUGUCGAAGGUGAGAUAUAUUGACUCAAAUCAAAUGGCUAAAUAAAAGGCCAAGGUCCAUGAUCCAUGAAAUAAAUUAUGCACACAACUAUAAGCCAAUGAUGUAUACUAUAAUGAACAGUAACAAACAGAAUUCCCAUGCUACGAACAAAAUCUUCAACGUUAAUUGGAAAACGUUGUGUUACAAACCUUGGUAAGGCACCAAAUUUAGCAGCUUCUUUCAAGUUCUGUAGUCGAUUUUUAUCUUGCUUUUCAAUUCUUUUCCUCUUAUUUUCUUUUCUCUUGGCAAAAGGAUCCUCUUUUGGAUCUGCAAAAUGUUACAAUAUCAUUAUUGAUAUGACAUACAUAUAGCUCUGAUCAAUGUACGAAAAAAAUCCCAGUAAAAUGUGAAUUACAAGUUUAUAUUCAUGAAAAGAUAAAAAUGUUAAAGUCAACAGAAUAAUAGCAUUAAACAUCUGCAGUCUAAAUAAACAUCACAUAUGAUUUGAAAUAUAGGCAUAUUAUCUAACUUCCAGAUUAUCAGAUGCAAAAAACAUUUUCGUAACCAAAAAUAACAAUGUGCCAAAGUAUGGUAAGGAAAGUAAAAUCCUCAAAUUUUGAAGUCUUAACUGACGGGUAUUCCAUUAAAUAAAUAUUUAGUUUAAAGCUCUGGUAACCCACAAUGCCAACCAUAUGUUUUGAUUAAGCAUUGAGUAUGCCCUGACAUAUCUAAAUGUUUCUAAUGUACAAUCUGGAUCUUCUAAAGGGUCAGUGGUGGUCUGAUUCAGAUUUUUUCUCAAUAGAACAGUUUUGAGUACACAAACCUUAUGCAGGUCUGCCAUGAAUCAUCCUAUGUUAGUAUUUUAUCAUGUUCGAACACAUUGUAGUGGUUCUGUUGGUGCCCAAAAGUGAUAACGUAAAGUAGAAUGUCUACAGUCUACACCAUAUUCAUGACCAUUAAAGCAACACGGUAGCAGUUAAUGAGGAAAAGGGAUGUUCGAUCCUUUACCAUCCGUUUCUUUUGCCUCAAUGAUAGGUACAGCAUCUUCAUCAUUUGCACGAUCAUACCCAUAUCUGCGUUUCCAGGUUCCAGAUUGUUCGUCGUACACAAUCUUGUCUUUCUUCCGAUUCUGUAUGCCUGCGACACAGGAUAAAAUUCAUUAGUUCAACUAGUAAAAAUUUGAGAGCACUAAGCCUAACACAGACUACAUGAACAGCAUUGAGAUUAUUUGAGGGUCACAUGGGCAGCAUGAAUAGACAAACCUUUCUUUUUGGCAAAAACUUCCCAUUUAGUAGGAGGCAUAGGCUUUGGCAGCUGAAAGCAUCACAGAAAAUUGAUGAGCCAGUGAUUUGACUGAUUAGACAUAUAAAAACACUAGAAUCAAAGAACCAACGAUAGAAUCAAUACAAUUGCACAGCUAAUUCGAAAGCAGACACAUGUAUGGAAGAAGCGGCUUUUAUUUAGCCCUUGGAAAGUUACUAUACAGUAUGAAUAAGAACUAGGGCUUAUGAGCAUUAAAGUAAAAUGUAACAAGUACUAGAUCAUAUAACCUUUGAAUUAAAAAGAAGAAUAAAGAUUGGAGUGUGGGAUUACAUGUUUUUCUCUUGGCAAUUUAGUUAGUGGUGGAGGCAAGUUGACCAGGGGGCCAUCUAUAUCUUCGGUUGAUGGUAAGGUGAACAGAGCAUCUGCGAUAGCUUGAACCAAGUGAGUGCCUUUCAGUAAGCAUUGCUUGACGAGGUCCGUCCUGUGUUCAAUUAACGUAAGCAAGGACAGUGUCAAAAAAGAAAAUAGCAAAAUAACCCUAAAGACGAAGAGAAGAAGAAGAAGAGGAAGAAGAAGGAGACGAAGAAGAAUAAGGCACCUGGAAAGAGGUGGUUGAGAGGGGAAGGUGUGAUUGGAGUCGAAAGCCAUGAGGUGGCCGAGGUCCACAUCGAAGCUGUGCAGUUUCUCACCCUCAAUCUCCAUCUCCAUCACCUUCGAUUCCAACAAAUGAAACCAAUAUCAAACCUCGGCGGCGUCGCAGGCGGGUAAGGGUUUAAGGGUUUGUGAUAUGUUGUGUUACAGCUGUGAGAAUGAAGAAAAUAGAGAAAACCAAAGACAAAAAGAGGGUUUUGGUGCUUUUGACCAAACUCUAACAAAAUUAUCAAUAAAAAUAAUUCCAAUACUAUCAACCAAAAUACUAAUAGUUAUUACACAAAUCAAACACAAAUAUUACACAUAUAAUUCUUCUUUCUUUUUAGUCUAUUUUUUUUUAAUUUUUUUUAAUAAAGUAUAUUUUUCAUUUUCUGAUACAAAAUAAUUCACAACAGCACUAAUUAAAAAAUUUAUGGGGAGUUGUUUCUUCCUUUUUAAAAAUGUUUAUUUGUUUUAAAAAUAGACAAAAAUAUUUAAUGAAAAUUAUUCUUUUAAACUCUUUCAAAACUUCCUUAUUUUAAGUUUUUAAAAUUAUAAAAUUGAAUCAUUUUAAAGCUUUUCUUAUUUUCUGUUUACAGAUUUCUGUUAAUCAGUUUUUCCCAAUGCUUGUAAAACUAGUCUGAACACUAAAUCGAUAGAUAUACUGACUCAAAAUUCAAAAAUUUAAUCAUAUUUAAAUCAUAAAUAAUUUUUUUUUAAUGUAAUACAUCACAUAUUAUAUAUAUAUAUAUAUAAUUAUAAUAAAUAAUAUCUAAAGAAAAAAAGUAAAAUAUAAAUAAAUGACAAGUGAAUAAACUUCCUGUAUUUUCUCUGAUAUUAUAAAAGAAAAUAAAUAUAUUUCUUUCUAAAUUAAGAUUACUUUUAUAAACAUAUUAUAUUAAAUAAACUAGUAAACAUUAAAAAAAUAUUAAUAAUUUAUAAUGAAAAAAAAACAUCAUAUUCUAAAAGGGUAUUUCAUUAAUUUGACAUAUAAAUCAGACGAGUUUUUUUUAAUCACUUAUUGCGUUAGACAAAAAGCAAAUGAAUUAAAUUCUAAAAUAUAUUCUGUAAAAAUAAUAAGGCUGUGCAUUGUCGACGGAGUGAAUGGUAUAAAAACUUUUUUCUUUAACAAAUUUACUUAAAAAACUCUCUUGAAUGACUUAAACAACAGUUUUAGGAAAUAAAUUUAAUACCUUUAAUAAUCAAUAAAUAUAAAGAAUAAUAACUAUAAGUAGUUAAAAAUAUAACAUCAAUAGCUUUUAUAGUCGUUCAAUUCUACCUUUGUAUCUAGUUUGAAUUAAAACAACUUUAAUUGAAUUAUUUCGCUAUUCAUAAAAAAAAAUUACAUGCAUACUUCACAUGUGAUAUACAACAAAUACAAGAAUGAAUAAUAAUUGAAAAUCUAUUAAAAAAACAAGUGUAGAAACCUAACAUACAACUACACCAAACCUAAGUUUUACAAUAAAUCCAAUAACGAAAAAAGUUUGAAUGAUAUCCCAUUUGAUAUGGUUGAAACUUAAAAAGAUAAAGAAUAUAAAAAGAAGUAUAGCAAGAUUAUAAAGUGUAAUCUUCAAUCAACAAUGAUUUCUUGAAAGAAUCUAUUUAACAAUCUAUUACUUUAGAACUUGAAGCAAUUAUAUUUUGAAGCAAAAUAUAUAAUAUUGCAUUAAAAUAUAAUAAAUUAAUUAUUAUAAGUAAUUGAUUAUCAUAAACAUUUUAAAAUGAUUUAUUAUAUUAUUUGUGAUAAUAAAAUAUGACUCAAAGAUAAUUGAUUACUUAUUAUUUUUAAGGCAUAUUUUAAGAAUUAAAAAUAUUAGGAUAACGAAUUAUAUGUAGAAUAAUUGAUUGUUUUGUUAUUUUGAAAUUUAAUUUUAAAAAAUUAGAGCUUUCAAAAAGUAUAUAUAUAUAUAUAUAUAUAUAUAUAUAAUAAUUAGUAGUAGUUAUUAUNNNNNNNNNNNNNNNNNNNNNNNNNNNNNNNNNNNNNNNNNNNNNNNNNNNNNNNNNNNNNNNNNNNNNNNNNNNNNNNNNNNNNNNNNNNNNNNNNNNNNNNNNNNNNNNNNNNNNNNNNNNNNNNNNNNNNNNNNNNNNNNNNNNNNNNNNNNNNNNNNNNNNNNNNNNNNNNNNNNNNNNNNNNNNNNNNNNNNNNNNNNNNNNNNNNNNNNNNNNNNNNNNNNNNNNNNNNNNNNNNNNNNNNNNNNNNNNNNNNNNNNNNNNNNNNNNNNNNNNNNNNNNNNNNNNNNNNNNNNNNNNNNNAAUAUUUUUUUAAUAAAAAAAUUACAACAAAGUAAACACAAUAUAAUCAAAUAUUUAAUAUUAAAAUGAUGUUUAUUUUCUUUUAUUUAAUGUUAAAUAUUUAAAAAAUAAAUAUAAGUGCGUAAAUAUUAAAUCACAAUACCAAAUAACAAUUAGAUAAAAGUGAAAUCAUACUAGAAAAGAGUAAAAAUAAUUAAAUAUAUUUUAUUCGAUGAAAUCAAAUAUUGCAUUUCUUAAAAUGCAAUACAUAGCUUGAACAAAAUCAUAUAAAGAAAAAAAAUGUGUAAUUGAGGUUGUGCUGAGUAGAAAAUACCUUGGAGACACGAGUAAACUUGGUUAAUAUCGAACGAGUUAAACAGUUGAAAGAGAAUAAAACAUUUUAGGUGAAAAUAAAAUAAAACUAAGGGUCAAAGCAGACAUAAUAAGUUUUUUAUUAUCAAUAAACUAAAGAUUUACGUGACUGAACACUUUUCAUUAGGGUUAAAAUUCUCAUAUAAAAAUAAGCAAUAAAUAAAAAAUAUUUAAAAAUAGUAUAAAUGAUAUAAUUUGUAUCUUGUAAAUUGGUUUAUUCAUUAAAAUUGAUAUUUUUGUUUUCUUAAAUACAAUACAUAAUGUAACGACACUUUUUUUAUAAAAAGCAUAAAUAGUGUGCCCACUAUCACUUUCUUCUUCAUUCUUCCAAACCACUUUCUCUCU
rnacentral:lncRNA from 1 species